GACGAACGCUGGCGGCGUGCUUAACACAUGCAAGUCGAACGAGUGGCGAACGGUUGAGUAAUACGUGAGUAACCUGCCCUCUUUUUGGGAUAAGCCUUUGAACCGGGGUCUAAUACCGGAUAAAGGGGGAUGUGCUCGCGGCCUAGCAGCUUGUUGGUGGGGUGAUGGCCUACAAAGGCGGUGACGGGUAGCCGGCCUGAGAGGGUGAAGGGCCACAUUGGGACUGAGAUACGGCCCAGACUAUUACGGGAGGCAGCAGUGGGGGAUAUUGCAGAAGGGGCGAAAGCCUGAUGGAGAGACGCCGCGGUAAUUC
rnacentral:rRNA from 1 species